UUGGGCGUAAGCGCGCGCAGGCGGUUUCUUAAGUCUGAUGUGAAAGCCCACGGCUCAACCGUGGAGGGUCAUUGGAAACUGGGGAACUUGAGUGCAGAAGAGAAAAGCGGAAUUCCACGUGUAGCGGUGAAAUGCGUAGAGAUGUGGAGGAACACCAGUGGCGAAGGCGGCUUUUUGGUCUGUAACUGACGCUGAGGCGCGAAAGCGUGGGGAGCAAACAGGAUUAGAUACCCUGGUAGUCCACGCCGUAAACGAUGAGUGCUAAGUGUUAGAGGGUUUCCGCCCUUUAGUGCUGCAGCUAACGCAUUAAGCACUCCGCCUGGGGAGUACGGUCGCAAGACUGAAACUCAAAGGAAUUGAC
rnacentral:rRNA from 2 species